UACGAGAGCGGCAGACGGGUGAGUAACACGUGGGAACGUGCCCUUUGGUUCGGAAUAACUCAGGGAAACUUGAGCUAAUACCGGAUAAGCCCUUACGGGGAAAGAUUUAUCGCCAAAGGAUCGGCCCGCGUCUGAUUAGCUUGUUGGUGGGGUAAUGGCCCACCAAGGCUACGAUCAGUAGCUGGUCUGAGAGGAUGAUCAGCCACAUUGGGACUGAGACACGGCCCAA
rnacentral:rRNA from 1 species